CACAUGACCAACAAUAAAACAAGAAAAGUCACGCCUUGUUUUUAUUGGAGGACUUGUUAGCUAUCUGUCUAGCUCUGAACUGGUACUCACUGCGAGGACAGAAUAGUAAAAAGACAAGAGCGCAGUAGGCACAAUUCAACAAGAUAUCACAGAAACUAUUCAUUAUUGAGUCUGUCAAUGGGAAAGUGAAAAUGCCACUGCCAACCUUGAUCGAAUGUGAUGCAAUUCCUGAUGAUCGGAGAGAGAUUCCAUCACCAGAAGUAGCACUUCAUCAUCCUCACCUACAACAAGUUGCAAAUAAAAUCCCCCCGGUAGACCCAGAUGCCCCCAUACUCUUGCUCCUAGGAAGAGAUAUCCUGCAAGCGCACAAGGUUAGGGAGCAAAUCAAUGGACCACACAAUACACCCUAUGCACAACGGUUGGAUUUAGGAUGGGUUAUUGUUGGUGAUGCUUGUCUGGGAACAGUUCAUAAACCCUUCAGAGUUAAUGUGACAAAAACACAUGUGCUCCAUAACGGCCGCACAUCAUUUCUCAGCUCGUGUCCAAACACACUAUUGGUCAAGGAGUCUUCAACAUCUCAUCCUAACUGUACGUCCACUUUUCCUUCUCAACAAAGCAUAGAUAAGUUAGGUUCAACAGUUUUCAACAGGACCAAGCAUGAUGAGAAACCAGCGCUAUCAAGGGAUGAUCAGAUGUUUCUCAAUAUAAUGGAAAAGGAAGUGUAUCAAGACGAAGAAAACAGCUGGGUGGCUCCAUUGCCAUUUCGCUCUCCCAGACAGCCUCUUCCUAGUAAUAGAGAGCAAGCUAUGAAGCGUCUUUUGUCUCUUAAGAGAACUCUGGACAAAAAACCUGAAAUGAAGAGUCAAUAUAUUGACUUUAUGCAGAAAAUGCUGGACAACGAUCAUGCAGAACUUGCUCCUCCAUUAGAGGAAAACAAAGAACACUGGUACUUGCCAUCAUUUGGUGUUUAUCACCCUCAAAAACCUGACGAGCUGCGAAUAGUGUUUGAUUCAAGUGCUGAAUAUGAAGGAGUGUCCUUGAACAAAGUUCUGUUGAGUGGACCUGACUUAAAUAACACACUUAUAGGGGUGCUGAUGCGUUUCAGAAAGGAACCUGUAGCAUUUACAGCUGAUGUACAACAAAUGUUUUAUUGUUUUGUUGUAAAGGAAGAGCACAGAGAUUAUCUCAGGUUUCUUUGGUACAAGAACAAUGAUCCCAGCAAGAGCGUGUGUGACUACAGGAUGAAAGUCCAUGUAUUUGGAAAUAGUCCCUCACCAGCAGUGGCUAUUUACUGCAUGAGACGUGCUGCAGAAGAGGGUGAGAAAGAACAUGGAUUCGAUGCCAAACAGUUUAUUGUGAGACAUUUUUAUGUUGACGAUGGGCUUGCAUCCUCACCCACCCAGAAAGAAGCUGUUGACAUCUUGACAGAAGCACAAAAGAUGUUAGCUGAAUCCAACUUGAAACUACACAAAAUAGCAUCCAACUGUCCUGAAGUUAUGGAGGCUUUCCCUGCUGAAGAACGAGCCAAGGAUCUCAAAGACUUAGACCUACGACUAGAUUAUCUUCCCUUACAGCGUAGCCUUGGAGUCCUAUGGGAUCUUGAAACAGACAGUUUUACAUUCCAGGUGCAGUCAGAGGACAGACCAUUCACUCGCAGAGGUGUUUUAGCAACUGUUAACAGUUUGUAUGAUCCUUCAGGCUUUGUGGCACCUAUUACAAUGCAGGGAAAAGCACUUUUUCGUGGACUAGCAGCUGUUCAAACAGACUGGGAUGAACCUCUCCCUUCAGAAAAACAAGAGGAGUGGAACAAGUGGAAAGAGUCAUUAAAGAACCUCAAAAAGCUACAGAUACCAAGGUGCUAUGUCCCAUUUUCACACUCUUUUGCCCAGAGAAGAGAGCUGUGUAUCUUUUGUGAUGCAUCCACAAUGGCAAUCGCAGCUGUGGCCUACUUGAGGGCUGUUGACAGUGAAGGUCAGUGCCAUGUAGGAUUCAUUAUGGGCAAGUCAAAACUAGCUCCAAAACCUGCACACACUGUUCCACGACUGGAGUUAUGUGCUGCAGUACUGUCUGUGGAACUGUAUGAGUUAGUCAGAGAUGAGAUGGACAUUGAGAUGGAUGCUGUCAGGUUCUACACUGAUAGUAAGAUAGUCCUUGGAUAUAUACACAACUCCACCAGAAGGUUCCACACAUAUGUUGCAAACCGAGUGAUUCGUAUCCACCAAUCUACUCAUCCUGAACAGUGGCACUACAUAUCCUCAAAGGAUAAUCCAGCAGAUAAUGCUACCAGACCUAUUCCUGCUUCUGACCUUCCAUCCACUAACUGGUUUCAUGGACCAGAGUUUUUGACACAGCCUAAUGUGGAGCCAUCACAGUCAGAUACUUUUGAACUUGUGGAACCAGACUCAGAUGCAGAAAUACAACCAGAUGUUAAAGCGCUAGCCACUAAUACUUCAGAACCCCAGCUGAAGUCUCAUCGGUUUGAAAGAUUUUCUGAUUGGAUGAAGUUAUGCCGCACCAUUGCAUCGCUCAUUCGUGUAGCAGGUUCAUUCAAAAAGACAUCUGCACAGACAAACUGUCGUCGAUGGAAAUGUUACGGAACAGGAUGUUCUGUAAGUGAACUCUCCCGUGCAAAACAAGUGAUUAUUGCCACAGUUCAGCAUGAGGUCUUCAAGGAAGAAUACAAAUGCAUCAAAACACAACACGCAUUGCCAAGGCAUAGCUGUUUAAAAAGGCUGAAUCCUCUGAUUGAUGAAAAUGGCCUACUGCGGAUUGGAGGACGCUUGGCACCUGCAGAUCUGACAAGAGAAGAAAAGCACCCAGUUAUCAUUCCUCAUGGCCACCAUAUUGCCACCUUGAUGGUCAGAUACUAUCACGAGAAGGUAGCACAUCAAGGUCGUCACAUAACUGAGGGUGCUAUCAGAGCGGCAGGCUUGUGGAUCACGGGGAGCAAACGUCUGGUAUCAUCCAUUCUAUACAAGUGUGUGAUCUGUCGCAAAUUAAGGGGAGCACUACAAGUCCAAAAGAUGUCAGACUUACCGGCUGACAGGCUGUCUCAAAUGCCACCGUUCACCAAUGUGGGAUUAGAUGUUUUUGGUCCAUGGAUGGUGGUGACACGUCGCACAAGAGGUGGCUGUGCAGAAAACAAACGCUGGGCGGUGCUUUUCACCUGUAUGUCGACAAGGGCAGUGCAUAUCGAGGUCAUUGAAUCAAUGUCAACAUCCAGCUUCAUCAAUGCACUAAGAAGAUUUUUCGCUGUCCGUGGUCCUGCAAAGCUUCUCCGCUCUGACAGGGGAACCAAUUUUGUGGGUGCUUCCAAAGAGUUAGGAAUCCACUACAAUGAUGCAUCGCUCACCAACUACCUUCAAGACAAAG
ensembl:lncRNA